CCAGCAGCGCCUGCUGUGGCUGCUGUACGACAUGGGGCACCUGGAGCGCGCCGUGGGGCUGAGGCCGCCCCCUCCCCACGCAGCUACCCCAUGGCCCUGGGCAACUUGGCCGACCUGGAGGAGCUGGAGCCCACCCCGGGCCGCCCGGACCCCCUCACCCUGUACCACAAGGUAAAAUGGGGCUGGGGGGGUCCGGGGGGGUCCGCUAUGGGGCG
rnacentral:lncRNA from 1 species